CUUGGUUGCUCGUGCUAGUAGUCAUACGUUUAUCUCAAAGAUUAAGCCAUGUAUAUGUAAGUAUGAACUAAUUCAAACUGUGAAACUUUGAAUGGCUCAUUAAAUCAAUUAUAGUUUUUUUGAUGGUAUCUACUACUCAAAUAACCAUAAUAAUUCUAGAGCUAAUAUAGGUAAUAAACCCUAACUUCUAAAAGGGAUCCAUUUAUUAGAUAAAAGGUCGACUUAGGCUAUGGCUAUUGCUUUGAUGAUUCAUGAUAACUUGACAGAUUACAAGGGCUUUGUGCCGAUGAUGCAUCAUUCAAAUUUUUACCCUAUCAACUUUUGAUGGUAGGAUAGUGGCCUACUAUGGUGGUGAUGGGUGAUAGAGAAUUAGAGUUUGAUUUUGAAGAGGGAGCCUGAGAAACGGCUACCACAUCCAAGAAAGGUAGCAGGUGUGCAAAUUACCCAAUCCUAACAUGGGGAGGUAGUGACAAUAAAUAAUAAUAUUGGGCUCUAUAAGUCUAGUAAUUAGAAUGAGUAUAAUCUAAAUCUCUUAACGAGGAUCUAUUGGAGGGCAAGUCUGGUGCCAGCAAUUGCAGUAAUUAUAGCUUCAAUAGCGUAUAUUUAAGCUAUUACAGUUAAAAAGCUCAUAGUUAAAACUAUGAGCUUUUUAACUCAAGCUUGCUUACCUAUGUUUAUUAUUAUUAGAGUUUAGCAUUUAGGGUUUAGGGUUUAGGGUUAGGGUUUAGAGUUUAAGGUUUAGGGUUUAAAGAUAAUUAAGGGCAUUCGUAUUUCAUAGUCAGAGGUGAAAUUCUUGGAUUUAUGAAAGAUGAACAAUUGCAAAAGCAUUUUCCAAGGACGUUUUCAUUAAUCAAGAAUGAAAGUUAAGGGCUCGAAAACGAUCAGAUACCAUCAUAAUCUCAACCAUAAAUGAUACCAACCAAGAAUUAGCGGAUGUUACUUUUAGGAUUUCAUCGGUACCUUAUAAGAAAUCAAAGUCUUUGGGUUUUAAGGGGAGUACGGUCGUAAAGCUAAAACUUAAAGGAAUUGACAGAAAGGCACCAUUAGGAGUGGAGCCUGCAGCUUAAUUUUACUCAACAUGAUAAAACUUACCAGCCUCAAACAUAGUAAGGAUUGAUAAACUGCAAGCUCUUUCUUGAUUCUAUGUAUGGUGGUGUAUGGCUAUUCUUAGUUGGUAAAGCGAUUUGUCUGGUUAAGUUUGUUAAUGAACGAGACUUUAGCCUAUUAACUAGCUACGCGGAGGUGAUUCUUUGUGGCUAGCUUUUUAGAAGGACUAUGAUAGCUUAGGCCAAGGAAGUUUGAAGUAAUAAUAAGUCUGUGAUGCCAUUAGAUGUUCCAGGUUGCAUGUGCACUACACUGAUGCAUUCAACGAGUCUAUAGCCUUGGUCGAUAGGCCUGGGUAAUCUUUGAAAUUUCAUCAUGAUGGGGAUAAAUCAUUAUAAUUGUUAGUUUUCAACUAGGAAUUCCUAGUAAGCAUGAGUCAUUAGCUUGCAUUGACUACGUCUCUACCCUUUGUACACAGCUCAUCACUCCUACCAAUUGAAUGGUUCGAUGAAGUGUUUGGAUCAUGACGACGUGAAAGGUUUGCCACCUGCGAUGUUACGGGAAGUCCACUGAACCUUAUCAUAUAAAGAAAGGAAAAAUUAUAACAAGAUUUCGGUAGGUGAACCUAUGGAAG
rnacentral:rRNA from 1 species